rnacentral:rRNA from 2 species
UAUUUAUAUUAAAGAUCCGCGGCUAUCCGCGGUCCUUCAAAAUUAAUAGCGGGCUUACUAGUUACACCGAAUAUAGUAAUUCUAUAUCGCUAUAAUCGUACAGUAGGUUCUUACUAUAAAACCCUCUAUUUUUAAGGUUAACUUCGGAUUAAAUAGGAAUACCCACUAAACUUAAAUAUAUUAAUAAGCGGAGGAAAAGAAAUUAAUAAGGAUUGCCCUAAUAAUAGCGAAUAAAGUAGUAAUAAUUUAAAUUUAAAAUUUAACUUCGGCCUGAAUUAUAAUUUGUAAAGGAAGCUUUUAGUAAGGCACCUUCUAAAUCCCCUAAAACGGAGCACUAUAGAGGGUAAAAGCCCUAUAUAGUCGGAUACCGAUCUAAUAUAAAGCUCUUUCGACGAAUUGAAUAAUUUAGAAAUACUACUUAAAAUAGGAGGUAAAUUUCUUCUAAAGCUAAAUACCGGCUAGAAACUAAUAAUGUAUAAGUAGAGUAAUUGAAAGAUAAAAAAUACUUUAAAAAGAAGGUUAAAUAAUAUAUAAAAUUAUUAAAAAGGAAGCGUUUAUAACUAAACUUAUACUAUUCCAAUUAUUUAGUAUUUUCACUAGUAUAUUCGGGACAAUUUAAACUAACAUUAAUUUUAGUAGAGGGAUAAAGGUCUAGGGAACGUAACUCCUCCGGGAAUAUUAUAGCUCCAAGCGUAAUACCCUCGCCGGGACCGAAGUUCGUAUAUCUAUAAGGAUAUUAGUAUAAUAAUUAUUAAUAACCCGUCUUAAAAUAUAGAUUAAAGAAUUAAGGUUUUAUACAAAUAUUUAAAUAUAAAACCUAUAUGUAUAAUAAAAAUAAAUAUAAGUAAAAGCUUUGGUGUAUUAUCGACCGAUUCUAAUAUAUUUAGAUAAAUUUAAAUAAAAGCGUUAAAUUUUAGACUUAAAAAAUAAUAAACUAUAUUUAGAUAGGGUAAAGCUAGAGGAAAUUCUAGUAGAAGCUCGUAACGGUUCUAAUAUACAAAUCGAUUAUUAAAUUUAAAUAUAGAGGCGAAAGACUAAUUGAACUAUCUAAUAGCUAGUUACUACCGAAGUUUCCCUUAGGAUAGUAAUAUUAUUCUUCAAUUUUAUAAAGUAAAGCAAAUAAUUAGGGACUCGGGGGCGCUUUUUAGCCUUCAUUUAUUUUUAAAUUUUAAAUAUAUAAGAAGCCCUUAUUAUUUAAUUGAAUGUAGGUAUUUAAAUAUACUAAUAUUAAUAAAUUAUUUUUAAUAAGUAGAAUUAGCGAUAUAGAAUAAACCGAACGUAGGGUUAAAGUACUGGAGUAAAUGUUUAUUAAAUAUUAUAAAAAGUAUUAAUAUAUUUUAAUAAUAAGACGGUAGCUAUAGAAGUUAAAAUUUGUUAAGGAUUAUAUAAUAAUUUACUUACCGAAUAUAUUAACCCUAAAAAUAGAUAGUAUUUAAGCGUCCUACCUAUAUUCCGCCUUUAAAGUAGAAAUAAUACCUUAAAGAGUAGGCGGUUGUAGAAGUUAGUAACGAAGCUUAGGGCGUGAGCCUGGGUUGAACGGCUUCUAGUAUAGAUUUUAGUAGUAGUAGUAAAUACUUUAAUAAGAACUUAAAAGACCGAAAUAGAAAAAAGUUCUAUAUAAAUAGUAGUUAGAUAUAAAUUAAUCGAUUCUAAAUUAUAGGAAAAUUCUAUUUUAAAAGGGUAUUUAUACCCCGUAUAGCGAAAGGGAAACUGGUUAAUAUUCUGGUAUUUAAAUAUAGGUUUUAUGUAGUAAUACAAUUAAAUGUAGAGACAACGGCGGAGGCCCCGGGUAAAAUUCUUUUUUCUUUUUAAUAAUCUAUUACCCUAAAAAUAAUUUAUUUAGAAAUAAGGUUUAAUAGUUAAAAAAGCCUAAUACUUCUAUCGGGUCCGGUACAUUUUCAAUAUCCCUUAAAAAUCCGUAAAAGGGAAUAAUUCUUAUACUAGGUUAUACUUAUAAUUGUAAUAAAUCUCUAAAGUGAAUAGCUUUUAAUUAAUAGAAUAAUAUAAAUAAAGGAAGUUGGUAAAAUAAAUCCGUAAUUUCGGGAAAAGGAUUAAUUUUAAGGGUUAAGUAUAUUGGGCUUUAGGCAAACGCCCUAGGAGUAGAUCGCUAUUAGCCGAGUAACCGGCUAGCGGCUUUCAAUAUCCGGGUAUAGAAGCCUUUAAUAAACUUCGGUCGUCCGGUAUAUAUUUAACAAUUAACUUAGAAUUAAUAUAAAUAGGGGGAAUUUAAUUAUUUAAUUAAAAUAUAGUAUUAUAAUAGUUAGAAAAUAGUAUUAACGCAAUAUAAUUUCUAUUUAAUACUUUGAAUAUUAAAGUAAAGAAAUUUAAUUAAGUGUAGGUAAAUAGUGGGAGUAACUAUAAUUCUCUUAAAAUAGUUAAAUACUUUAUUAUUUAAUUAGUAAUACGUAUAAAUAAAUUAAUAAGAUUCCUA